rnacentral:rRNA from 1 species
UACGUAGGGUGCGAGCGUUGUCCGGAAUUAUUGGGCGUAAAGGGCGCGUAGGCGGUUUGACAAGUCUGAUGUGAAAUCUCUGGGCUCAACCCAGAGUCUGCAUUAGAAACUGUCGGGCUUGAGUAUGGGAGAGGUGAGUGGAAUUUCCGGUGUAGCGGUGAAAUGCGUAGAUAUCGGGAAGGAACACCUGUGGCGAAAGCGGCUCACUGGACCAUAACUGACGCUGAGGCGCGAAAGCUAGGGGAGCAAACAGG